UAUCAAAUCUAGAUGCAGUGGCGUUUUUGUAUAUAAAUGUCCUCUCCGUCACAGUCUUUACCGUUACACAGAAUAGUGUUAUGGUAAAGACGAGGGCUCUUGAAAGCUGUGACGGUAAAGACUUUUUUUGAAAUUAAACUGUCAUUUUGUAUAUCAACGAAAUAAUUUUAAUAAUCGGAACUUAUAGAAUAAAAAGUAAUAAAAUCUUAAAACGAUUAUUAAAAAAUAAGUUAUAAAAAAUGAAAUUACAAUGGACAUUUUAUAAAAUAAAAAAUAAAAAUAUUUAUUGUUAUUUCAGACAAACCCUUCGGAAAUAUCUCGACAAAACGAAAUAUUAAAAGAAUACAUCCACAUAAAUGAAUUGCUACUGGACAUUGAAUUAGAAAGAAGACGUGUGUUGAAUGUAAUCGAAAAUCUAAAUUUGCCAAACUUUGAACAUGAAUGGAAUCAGAAAAACGCAGAAAUUUUGAAACAACUUAAAGACAGGAAAAAGCAAAUUCAAGAAAUAAUUUCUAGUUUUAUUUAAGUUUCUGCAUUAACAAGAUGGGGUUGUCUGCAGCCGAACGGGCAAAAAAGUACAGAGAUUCUUUAAAAUCUGACCCUAUAAAACAUGCUCAGUACUUACAAAAGGAAAGAGAGAGAUACAAAAAGAGAAAAGCAUCUGGUGAAUAUGACAUAAGUAAAAAGUCAGAAAGAGAAAAGAACUAUAUAGGAAGGCAAUGGAGAAAAAAGAAACAAACAUACAGACAACAACAAAGAAUGAAUGAAAAAGGUAUUAAUUUCAUGGAAGUAAAUAGUCCUACUACAUCACCAGAAACUUCUCCAUUACGAGUUAGAAUCGAACGGCCACCGCAGCAUGCAUCUGGAAGAAAGAAAGUAAAAAAAGAGAGAGCAAAAGCCUAUCGAACUAUUGGAAAACUGCAGAAUGAAGUAAACAGAUACAAAAGACUAUGGGAAAAUUACAGGGAAAAAGAACAGCGUCUAAGAAAACACGUUCAAAAAGGAAGUAAAACUUCUGUUCAGAAAACAGGUGUAUUCGAUGAAGUUAUUGUAAAAGCUUUGGCCAAGAGAUUUAAAGAAUCCAAGGGAGAAAUGGAAAGAAAGCUAAUAUCAAGUGUUGUUUCUAAAGAUUUGUUAAUGAAAAGCAGAAUCCAAAGACAAUUCACAAAUGAAACCGGAAUAAGUUACUAUAGGCUAGUGUCUAAUGCUGUUAGAGCGGACAUGAAAGAUUCGUAUAAGCGGACAGGAAGAUCAGUUGUUUGGAGAAUAGAAAUGCGAAAAAAGGUAAAGAAGUUCUUAGAAGAAGACAUAAACAGUGUUCAGGCACCUGGAAAAAAAGACACAAUAACUAGAAAUGGAAAAAAAAAUGCAGAAGAGAUAUCUUGCAGACACACUUAAAAACUUAUUCCAAAAGUAUUUAGAAAAGUACCCAGGUGAUAUACAAAAGCUUUCUUAUAGUAGUUUCUGUCGGUUAAGACCAUUCUGGAUUGUUGCCAAGAAAACAGAUGCAAGAGAUACAUGUCUUUGUAAAUUACAUGCAAACGUUAAGAGUAGAAUUGAAAAGUUGCAUCAAUUAAAGGUCAUUAAUUCAAAAAAUCCUGACAAAAUCAGUGAACAGUUAGUAUGUGAUUUGAAAAAUAAGGCCUGUAGUUAUGGAGACUGUAUACAUUGUAAAAAUAAACUGUUGUGUAGUAACAACCUGGAAGAGCUAGGGGGCAACCAGGUCACAUUUUCCCAAUGGGCGAACAGGAGUGAAAAUAUACCAACAAAAGACGGCAAAAGCAUGCGAAAAGUUCAGAAAACAGUCAAACAAACCGAGCAAGUUACUGUUGAUGUUCUUUUAAUGAGACUGUCAAAAUGAUAAAAGCCAAAUACAUCAAACAUAUAUUUAAUAUAAGAAAUCAGUACAUGUCUCUGAAAGACCUAAAGGACAAUGUUGACACAUCAGAGGCCGUAAUCCAUGUAGAUUUUUCAGAGAAUUAUAACUGCAAAAUGUCUGAAGAAGUGCAAUCUAUGCACUCUGGUGGGUCGAGGAACCAAAUUUCUUUACAUACGGUUGUUGUAUACAGCAAAGCAGGCAUAAAGUCUUUUUGCACUGUGUCAGAGAACACAUACCAUGGUCCUGGUGCUAUUUGGGCCCAUAUGUUCCCAAUUUUGCAGGAAAUUAAGGAAACAAUGCCUCAGAUACGUACGCUACAUUUUGUAAGUGACGGGCCUUGCACACAAUACCGAUCAAAAAACAACUUUUACAUGUUUAACAAAGAGGUACUUGAAAACUUUGAGUUCCAAAUGGGUUCUUGGAACUUUACAGAAAGUGGACAUGGUAAAGGUGCAGCGGACGGUAUCGGAAGGGGUAGUAAAACGUACAGCUGAUGCUAUUGUGUCAAUGGAUACAGAUAUAUCAGACGCUAAAUCUUUUUAUGAAGAAGUUAGUAAACGUGUCAAUAAUGUACGUUUAUUUCUUAUUGCUUCUGAGGAUAUUGACAAGGUUACAGCCAGUAUUCCCACACAUAUUCCUACUAUUAAAGGGACAAUGAAGCUCCACCAGGUUGUUAUAAACAAAGCCCAUAGAGGUAUAAUGCAUCUGAGGGAACUUAGUUGCUUCUGCACGUGGCCCACAUGUUGUAAGUGUUACAUAGCAGAAACGUCAGAAUGUAUUCUAAUGUCCCAACAUGACUCUGUUUCGCCUAGCAAUAAUGAUGCAGAUAAAAGAUGCGAAACUGGAAGGACAACUAAUAUGGAUUGUAGAAGUCAGGGAGUAUUCACUCAUGAUACUAUUAACAGGGAACCACAGACACCACCAACGGAUGUAGAAGCUUUGAAAACACCGAAAAAUGUUGACCCGCAGAAAAUAUUGACGAAAAUUGAACCGCAUCCAGAUCUUAUUGGAAACUGGUGUGUUGUCCGGUAUGACGACAAGGCUUAUCCAGGUAUCAUUCAGGAUUUGGAUGACGACUCUGCAGAGGUAAAGGUAAUGCACCGUAUAGGUGAAAACCGUUACUUUUGGCCGUAUUUGGAAGAUUGUAUCUGGUAUAACUGGGAAAACUUACUUAUGCUUAUUCCGGAGCCAUUACAUGUGACAGGUAGACAUGUGCAGAUCGACCCAAGCCAUUGGACGGAGGUUAAACAUAUGUUAAACGAAUGAUGGAAUAACAUAUAACUUAACAUGCAACAUAUCAGUAAAUGCCAUACAAGUAAAAUCUUUUUUAUAAAGGAAUCGAAUACUGAAUAGUAUUUUUCUUUGCAUAUAACUACUGUUCAAUAAGAUCCGGAACUGAAUAUUUCAUCUUUUUUAUUGUUGCAUUAAGAAGUGACAUGAUUGUAGACUCGGAGAUUAAGGUACGGCUGUCGACGUUUAAAGGAGCAGUAUGUGUUGAUUUAAAGUUUUCGUAACACUGUUUAAUUUGUUAGAUCUUUUAUUUGUUUGAAUUUUGUGUUGUAUUGCUUGCUAGCAUUUCACUUAAAUGAAAUAAAAUUUAAUUGUUUCCAUUAUUAGUAUUCAUUAUCAUGUAUUUAUAUGAAUCAUAGUACAUUACAUCACAAAAAAUGUCUUUUCCGUCACCUCAGUGUCUUUACCGCAACGAAAUGUCUUUACCAUCACGUAGCAUAUUUUUGGUAUUUAAAAGUUUUUUAUGCAAUACAUUCCAUUGGUUAAAUUGUCAUAAUACAAAGCAAAAUAUACUUUUUAUGACCAGUGAUUAAUUUUCUAUAUCACUAUGAAGAUAGAUGUUUGCGGUAACAAAAUAUGUUUAAAAAAUCGGGAUUUCAUUUUUUUUAAAGUUAAAAAGUUUAAUUCACUCUUUCCAUUAUACAAACUAUUUUUUCCCUGCAAAACUUUUAAGAAAAUAACAACUUACUAUCCUUUAACACAGACUUACUAUCAAUUUCAUUUAUAAUUAAAGAUUAUUUUAUGUCAGAAGCAUUGUGACGGUAAAGACUAAUUUUUCGCACGUGCUUCUUUCACGUGCAUCACUACAAAUAUGACACAUUGUGCUGUAUGCGUACUAGUAAAAAAUGACUUUUGAGGGUAUAACCUUACAAUUAAAUGCAAGAAAAACAAAAAAGUUUCUUAAAAUUUUUAUAUCAAAAUCAAU
rnacentral:misc_RNA from 1 species